UACAGAGGCCUCGAGCGUUAGGCGGAAUCACUGGGCUUAAAGCGUGUGUAGGCGGGUCGUUAAGUGAUUUGUGAAAUCCCCUGGCUCAACCAGGGAACUGCUCGGCAUACUGGCGAUCUUGAGCUACCUAAGGGCAACUGGAACAGACGGUGGAGCGGUGAAAUGCGUAGAUAUCGUCUGGAACGCCAAUGGUGAAGACAGGUUGCUGGGGGUAUGCUGACGCUGAGACACGAAAGCCAGGGGAGCAAACGGG
rnacentral:rRNA from 1 species